AGUGAACGCUGGCGGUAGGCCUAACACAUGCAAGUCGAACGGCAGCACAGUAAGAGCUUGCUCUUACGGGUGGCGAGUGGCGGACGGGUGAGGAAUACAUCGGAAUCUACUUUUUCGUGGGGGAUAACGUAGGGAAACUUACGCUAAUACCGCAUACGACCUACGGGCGAAAGCAGGGGAUCUUCGGACCUUGCGCGAUUGAAUGAGCCGAUGUCGGAUUAGCUAGUUGGCGGGGUAAAGGCCCACCAAGGCGACGAUCCGUAGCUGGUCUGAGAGGACGAUCAGCCACACUGGAACUGAGACACGGUCCAGACUCCUACGGGAGGCAGCAGUGGGGAAUAUUGGACAAUGGGCGCAAGCCUGAUCCAGCCAUACCGCGUGGGUGAAGAAGGCCUUCGGGUUGUAAAGCCCUUUUGUUGGGAAAGAAAAGCAGCAGGUUAAUACCCCGCUGUUCUGACGGUACCCAAAGAAUAAGCACCGGCUAACUUCGUG
rnacentral:rRNA from 1 species